rnacentral:rRNA from 1 species
CCUACGGGUCGCACCAGUGGGGAAUAUUGGACAAUGGGCGCAAGCCUGAUCCAGCCAUACCGCGUGGGUGAAGAAGGCCUUCGGGUUGUAAAGCCCUUUUGUUGGGAAAGAAAUCCAGCCGGCUAAUACCUGGUUGGGAUGACGGUACCCAAAGAAUAAGCACCUGCUAACUUCGUGCCAGCAGCCGCGGUAAUACGAAGGGUGCAAGCGUUACUCGGAAUUACUGGGCGUAAAGCGUGCGUAGGUGGUCGUUUAAGUCCGUUGUGAAAGCCCUGGGCUCAACCUGGGAACUGCAGUGGAUACUGGGCGACUAGAGUGUGGUAGAGGGUAGCGGAAUUCCUGGUGUAGCAGUGAAAUGCGUAGAGAUCAGGAGGAACAUCCAUGGCGAAGGCAGCUACCUGGACCAACACUGACACUGAGGCACGAAAGCGUGGGGAGCAAACAGGAUUAGAUACCCUGGUAGUC